UACGUAGGGGCGAGCGUUGUCCGGAGUUACUGGGCGUAAGCGCACGCAGGCGGUGCUGCGCGUUUUGGGUUACAGCUCCCGGCUCAACCGGGAGAGCGCCUCGGAAGACGGCAGCACUUGAGGGCCAGAGAGGGAGCACGGAACGUCCGGGUGGAGUGGUGAAGUUGCGGUAGAUAUCCGGAAGAACACCAAAGGACGAAGGCAAGUGUCCUGGCUGGGUACCUGACGCUCAGGUG
rnacentral:rRNA from 1 species